AGUGCAAAUCUGUGUACCACUCAGUGA
rnacentral:piRNA from 1 species